ACCCGCGGACCCUGGCUCUGCCAGCCUCGGAACCUGCUGUGGCUUCCUCUACCUCCUCCAGCUGCCUAGCCUGGUCUGAGAGUCCAGCUCUGGGCUGAGGAGGAGGAAGUCGCGGCCCAGAGGGUACAGCAACAGGUGGGAAGCUCAGCCUCCAUGCGGCUGCCUAAUUGCAGCCUGGCCUUGGGCAAAGCUUCCUACUGGGUUCUGUGAGACCCACACUUCCCGGUUUCUUUCCACAGUGGAGGCCGGCUGUACGUGUUCCUGUAUAAGGGCCCGAGAGGUGUCAGUGCCUGGGAAAGACGUCUACAGCAGGGAGGGAAUAAAUAACCACUGGGGUGCGUCUCCCUCCAGCCCUUUUCCAGCCUGUAGACUGUGGAAACCCACAGAGCACUCAACUGCAGCUUGCGGAUAAUCCUUAAAUUAAACCUGGAAAGGGUCCCGGGACCCGCACUCAAUACCCUGCAAAAUUUAGAUGUGCUAGCGAUUGCUUGUCUGACUGGGCCGUUUCUCCUCGCAAAUGAUGGUGAAUUACUUACAAAAAAAAAAAAAAGAAAAAAAAUGCGCCUAGACUUCUCUGGGAUGUGUGGGGGAAGGGAGGGAGCCGCUGGUUCCUUUCGCCUUGUCCGCCCUCGCCCUCGAUCUUUCUCUCCACCACCGCCCGGCAAGCUCUGCUCAUGUAAAACCAGAACAAUUAGAGAGUAAUGAAUUCUCUGGAACAGCAACUCCUACAGACUCUCAGCUCUGCCCUCGCUCCAGCGCCUCCCCGUCCUCCUUCCCAGCAACCAGGCAAGAGUACUGCAGACCUUCAAAAACCAGCCUCGGUUAGCACCUGCAUCCUGACAAUUUAUAAAUGAAUUCUCCACUGAGUGUGUAAAGCAGGUGCAUGUUAUCUCUGAGUACAUUGGUAUCGUAGCGAAGCUUUGCUUUUAAAAUGACAUGAUGCGUUUAGGAGUCUUUUAUCUUCCACGGAGUUUUGCAGUCCGGUUUAAUGAAUAUGCUUCAAGCACCCCAAAGCAUCUGCCUACCUUUAACUUAAGCCCGUAAAGACUGCCUUGAGUCACCAAACAACCUCUACAAAAUAUUUCGCGUUCUAGGUGGUAGGAGCAGGGCACACUUUUAU
rnacentral:lncRNA from 1 species